rnacentral:rRNA from 1 species
GAUGAACGCUAGCGGCAGGCUUAAUACAUGCAAGUCGUGGGGCAGCAGGUCUGUAGCAAUACAGAUGCUGGCGACCGGCAAACGGGUGCGGAACACGUACACAACUUUCCUUUAAGUGGGGAAUAGCCCAGAGAAAUUUGGAUUAAUACCCCGUAACAUAGUUAAAAGGCAUCUUUUUAUUAUUAUAGCAGCAAUGCGCUUAAUGAUGGGUGUGCGUCUGAUUAGGUAGUUGGCGGAGUAAUAGCCCACCAAGCCUACGAUCAGUAACUGGUGUGAGAGCACGACCAGUCACACGGGCACUGAGACACGGGCCCGACUCCUACGGGAGGCAGCAGUAAGGAAUAUUGGGCAAUGGACGCAAGUCUGACCCAGCCAUGCCGCGUGGAGGAUGAAGGUCCUCUGGAUUGUAAACUUCUUUUAUCUGGGAAGAAAUCCAUCUUUUCUUGGGUGGUUGACGGUACCAGAUGAAUAAGCACCGGCUAACUCCGUGCCAGCCGCCGCCGUAAAAC